rnacentral:rRNA from 1 species
AAUAGAUACCCCGGUAGUCCACGCCGUAAACGGUGGGCACUAGGUGUGGGCGACAUUCCACGUCGUCCGUGCCGCAGCUAACGCAUUAAGUGCCCCGCCUGGGGAGUACGGCCGCAAGGCUAAAACUCAAAGGAAUUGACGGGGGCCCGCACAAGCGGCGGAGCAUGUGGCUUAAUUCGACGCAACGCGAAGAACCUUACCAAGGCUUGACAUACACCGGAAACGUCCAGAGAUGGGCGCCCCCUUGUGGUCGGUGUACAGGUGGUGCAUGGCUGUCGUCAGCUCGUGUCGUGAGAUAUUGGGUUAAGUCCCGCAACGAGCGCAACCCUUGUCCCGUGUUGCCAGCAGGCCCUUGUGGUGCUGGGGACUCACGGGAGACCGCCGGGGUCAACUCGGAGGAAGGUAGGGACGACGUCAAGUCAUCAUGCCCCUUAUGUCUUGGGCUGCACACGUGCUACAAUGGCCGGUACAAUGAGCUGCGAUACCGCGAGGUGGAGCGAAUCUCAAAAAGCCGGUCUCAGUUCGGAUUGGGGU